AGCGAACGCUGGCGGCAGGCCUAACACAUGCAAGUCGAACGAACCUUUCGGGGUUAGUGGCGGACGGGUGAGUAACACGUGGGAACGUGCCUUUAGGUUCGGAAUAACUCAGGGAAACUUGUGCUAAUACCGAAUGUGCCCUUCGGGGGAAAGAUUAAUCGCCUUUAGAGCGGCCCGCGUCUGAUUAGCUAGUUGGUUGAGGUAAUGGCUCACCAAGGCGACGAUCAGUAGCUGGUCUGAGAGGAUGAUCAGCCACAUUGGGACUGAGACACGGCCCAAACUCCUACGGGAGGCAGCAGUGGGGAAUCUUGCGCAAUGGGCGAAAGCCUGACGCAGCCAUGCCGCGUGAAUGAUGAAGGUCUUAGGAUUGUAAAAUUCUUUCACCGGGGACGAUAAUGACGGUACCGGGAGAAGAAGCCCCGGCUAACUUCGUG
rnacentral:rRNA from 1 species